AAACAUUGCUAUGAAUCAGAAAAUGUACUCAUUGAAGUUACAAAAAAAAAAAAAAGCUGAGAUUAAUAAAGCUCAGAAAAGCAUAAGGAGAUGUAAUUAGAAACUUUACAAGAUUCCGGUUUUAAACUUGACCAGAUGUUAGCAGUAAGAUGAUUAUAUUCUGCAAUUUGUGCACUAUAUAGCCGUGGCAAAUGUUACAUCACCUGAGGCAUAUGGAUGAAGUGACCUUGACUUCUGUUUCCCAGUGUAUUAGCAAGUGUCUGUGCAUUCCUUUGGCCGUCAGAUUCUCUUCUCUGAAGAGAGUAUCACUGAGGAACAGCUUGAGAUAAGCACUGUGAACCAAAAGAGAGAUCCUGAUGGCUGUCAGAUCAGAGUAGCAGUUGGCCAAGAAGACAAAUUGCCUUCCUGCUACAGGCACUUGCCAUAGCUGUUGUGGUGUGCCUUGGAACAUGAUGUCCUCCACAGGUGGCAGCCUGCAGCAAGAAAUUGGUUGGACCUGCAGAGAUACAGCCCAAUGACAAGGGCUGGCACUUUGGAUUGCAACAUUACCGAAACGAAAAGCGUGAACACUACAGGAAUUUCUGCUCUAUGGAAAAAUGUUAUUUUUGGAUUCUUCAGGAAGGCGUGCAUAUAAAACCACCGGUUCCCUGCACUCUCUCUGUUGUCCGAUUUGUUAAACUCAAGUGGUCCCAUGUGUGAGUAGCAUGACUGCCAGAAGUGCUCUGCAGCCAUCUGCUUUUUUGGUAAGUCUUUGAUUAUUUCUUUGUCUAUAUUUCUGUCCGAAAUUAGAACUGGCAACUCAAUUGGUUGCUUAAUAUUGUUUUUUUUAUAAUUUAACAUUUCCAACUUAUGGCUAGGAAAUAGCAGCAAGGUAAUAAAAAGCACAAGAAAUAAACUUUUCUACUGAAGUCCUGGUGGAGCUUUUGUACCAUAUUGUUUCAGCAACUGAACAGAGAAAGUUUUACUCUUUGUGGGUAAUAUCAAGCUGGAAGGAGCAGACGUAGCAGUUCAAUGAACCGUCCAGAAAAUGUGGAGAAGAACUCCCAGGCUCUGGUAGAGGCACUUGCAAUAGAGGUGAACUUUGAAGUCAAUGCUGCAUUUAGAUCAGAACCAAACCACACCAUAGAGGAAGAAAGUUAAAAGCAGGGGGACCACUUCUGAAGCUAGGGGUCUCAUAUGAUAGCUAGAAAUUUGUUCCCUGUGUAGGUCUGCUAUGGAGGCUGCAUGCUUGCUGGCUCUAUAGUUUCAAAGCCUGAGAGAGGCUCUGACUGAUAUACUGCAACUGGGUAGUGUGUGCUGCCAGGUUGUCUCAAUGGAAACUUCACGAGAGGUCCUGGAUUUCUUCACUGAGGACUUCAGUGCAGAAGCCAGGUCCUGUAUCUCCUGUACCUGGAGAGAGGACUGGAAGUCAGGGCUAGGGCGGACACUGUGAUCAUUGGCUCUGUCCUUCCAUGUGGAAUCCAGAGAGGAUACCAACACACAUGCCCUGUAAUGCUGACUUUGUGGCAGAGCACACAAUAUAGAAUAAUUUAUUAUUGAGUGCUUUGUUUGCUUGUUUUUCUCAGUGGCUUUUUUUUUUCUUUCUUUCUAAAUGACAUGCAUUAGAACUUUAGUCCAAUCUAAAGUGCAACAGCUCUGCAGGGUGAUGAUGGAAACUUAUGUGCCAGAUGCAGAGACUUGGUAUUUCCAGUAGCCACUCUGGCCUGCAUUGCUGGUAGGCAUGAGAAGGAGGGUGGCUUUCCUUAGUGCAGAAUCACAUUGUAAAAUGUGCCAUGUUCUGAGCGUGCUGUUGGUCCCCUACCACAGCCUCUCAAUCCAUUGCCUGUCCUUGUCAUUUCUCUUACUGUGGCAAGGGGAAGAUAUUUCUUUCUGAUCACAAAGGGCUCUGAAAAAUGAAUUCCUUUUGCUCUUUCAGAAUUCCCUCUGAUUCUGUGAGAGAUGGUGGAUUUCGUGGCAGUGUUAUACAGAAAACCAGAAGCUCCUGGGGCUGUGGUGGCAUGGGCGAUGCCGCCAAGGUGGGCUGCUCUGCCUCUCUUGAUUUGCAGGCUGCUAAGGGCUAGCAGUGCUCAGAGCUGUCAGACGGAGAAAAGGCAGGCUCUGUUUCCAAAUAUACAAAUGCUCAGAACGUAAAAAAAUAUUUUUGUUUUAAAUUUUAAUAAAGCAGAGGGAGGGAGAGGAAAGGGAAAUAAAAUAGCAAGUAGGGAUGUGGUGGGAGCCAGCCAGGCUGGGGCUUGCUAAUAUCUGAACUGGGCUGAUGAAAAAUGUUUUAAGUCUGCCGGAAGGUCCCGAAAGCGCAGCUCUGCCCGGAUUGAGUCAGUGGUGACAGGAUUGGGCCCUCUGUUACUUUUUUAUUUGGUGUUAUAAAUUACUUUCCCACAUUUCCAAAGACAUUAACGAAUCUUUUCAAGGCAUGCUGUGAAAAUCAUUGCAUGUGUUGCUUAAACUACUUAUCCAUAUGUAGGUUUGUACACUAUAGGAGCUUUUCCUUUUUGUUUUGCUCUUCCAGAACACUGGCAAACUACAAAUCUUUCCUCCUCUCCCCACUUUGAUUUUUUCCAGGUAAAAUGAUGGCAGAUGUACUCAGCUCAGUUUCAUAUAACAUAUUGCUUACUGGAAGGACAAAUUUAGCUCCCUGCCCUUUUACUGUAAACUUGGUUUUGUUUUUUAUGUAUUUGUAAUUUCCUUUCGACCAUUUAUAAACAGGUUAGAAAUACCAUUUCGAGCUGAUUCUAUUAAUAAUCAGAGUUCUUUAUAUGGGUUCUUUAGGAUCUGUGCAGUAGGAACAAACUGUAUGGUAAACAAACAUCUCCAAACUCUUCCUGCUGCAAAAAUAUUCACUGCAUUGUUUUGCUGUUCCUUGGAGUAUUCUGCCUUUACUUAGAGUGUUAUAGUCAGGGAUUUAGCUGCUAAUUGUGUUUUCCAGGAAGAGCGUUUCAUUUUAUUCCUUUAGGGUACAAAAAGGAAUAAUUUUUGCAACAACAUUCGUAUCCCAUUAAAAAAAUUAAAACUGUCAUUGGAAAACUGUGAGAAUUGAGUUUCUGAUGACAGAGCCAGAAGGCUGCUGGCUGCUUUCCCUGCUUGCCUCAAUGCUAUGGCUGAGCCAAGGCAGUGAUUCACUCUCACUGGACUGGGUGACCUCCAGAGGUCCCUUUACACCUCAGUUAUUCUGUGGCACCAUGAAGUUAGAGGGUUCUCUUUCCUCCCCCUGGCUGGUUGCACAGCCCUCCACUUCCCUUGUGCUGUUCUGGUGAGCAGGUACAAUGCACUGCACCUGCACAAAGCCAAGGUGAGAGGGGGAAGUGGAGCGUGGGUUUCCUUGCAGUAAGGAGUUGGAGUGUGCUGAGCAAAGGGCUGGUGUGUGCUGGAACCAGCAUAACAGAGGGGGCAGGCUGUGUGAUGGGCUGUGGUGGUGGAGAGGGCUGUGGGACAGAGCUUUGGGCUGCUAAGCAGCUUACCUCCAAAUGGGUUAUAGCAGGGGCCAUUCACAUCUCCUAGCGUUCCAGUGCAAGGAUGUAUGUGGACAGCCUUUUUGCAGGUUGUGUUCUCCACCUUGAUUUCAUUUACUGAUUUUAACCUGAUGUGAAUGUACUCAUAUGCAAUCUUGCUAUCAUCACAACAGAAUGUGUGGCUUCACUGGCACAAGGAGGCAGGCAGCUGUGCAGGGUGAGCUCUGCAGUCUCAGAGAUGAAGGUGGAUUAAAAGUUCUGUGGCCACCCAUUUCCAUCCCAAGGAACACUGCAAUUUGCUGCUCCCUCGGUCUGCAUCUUGUCCCCUCCCUCUCUUCAUCACUCGUACUCAUAUUACCCUGGGAGCUGAUUAGCUCCUUCCCCCUUGUUAGUGUUCAACCAAUUUAGUGAGCUGAAUCAGUUCACUGCAGGGUCAGACAAGCACUGGGGCCCUCAGUGCUGGAGCAGAGGAUGGGACCGGGGCUGGGGCACACCUGGCUGCAGUUCGGGUGUUCUGCUGCCAUCACUUGUGAGACUGUGAGGUACAUCACUGUGUUAUCUCUGCUGAAAGUUACCCCAUCUCCUUGGGUUAGUGGUUUUAAAGUGGGGUUGUUUCAUGGAUUUUGUUUUUACAGUAUGGAUGAUAAAUCACAGUGAACGUGGGGAGAUGCAUGGGUGGUGAGAGAGAGCAAGCAGAGAAAUAAUGAGAAAUAUGGAUUUUCAGUGUGCAGUGGCAGACCCUGGGAGGAUUUCUGCAUGCAGGCUAUAGACCUUUAGCCCAGGUUGUGAAUUAUUUUUCCUUUUGUAGAGCAGUUGCUCAGAAAUAGUGUCAGUAAUUCCAGCAAGAAAUCAUUAAUAAACUUAUUUCUGUGAACACUAACAAACUUUGUCAUUCAGGUCACAAGAUAAAUACAUUGGGUUAAAGGUUUCAGAUGUGCAGUUAAUAGCUGACUGAGAGCAGUGAAAGAUGGUGGUAUUUGAGACCUUAACGUUUUUAUUAUCUGUUUGCUGAGCAUCCCAAAGAAAUAGAUAAUUUAAACAUAUGACACACGCUGUAGUGUGGGUUGGUGUCACCACAGCAUUGAGCUCCUCUAAGCACAGGGGCCAGAAGCAUGGCGAUGAACUUGCUUUCAGUGCUUUGUCUUCUCUAAAUGUAAAUUUGGGCACCUACUUUUCUACUCACUGGUGAUAACCUUUCUGUGAACUGUCUGGGGCCUCAUGCUUUCACCUGUUAAAAUAAAUGACAUUUAUUAAAAAAAAAAACAAUAACACCAAAACCACAUUGUUUUAGGCAUAAAUCUACCACUUCAAUUGCAUGAGCCUGUCAGUGAAUUUCUGACACCAAGUUAUGUUAUUUAAUGAGUGCUAUUAGGUAGUUCUGUCACUUAAUAGGAUUGAGGGUUGGAAAUGCCAUGUAAUAUCGCUUCACUGGAGAAAAAAUCAACAAACAGCCCUCACUAAAAACCUCGCGUUGCCUUUGAUGUCAGUGGGACCUGCUGUCACUUCAGAGGGGAGCCCGCCGUGCUGUUUGCACGGGGCUCCAGCUGCCAUUUUUGGAGGAGAGGCCACCGUUAUUCUUGGCAAUGUGACACGAGGGCACCCAACAAAACAAUUCUCCCACCAUCAGACCGAGAGUGAAGAAACAUUGAAUAGCUAUGGCAGAAGUUAUGUCCAUCAGAUAUCCUCUAGUUCAAGGAAAAAGAACUGUGGGCUGUACAUUGUCACGUUUUCACUUUUACUGGGUUAACGCCUGAAAUCCCUGCUUAGGCUCAGGGCUGUCCUAUGUGGUGAGAUUCAGAUUUUGUGCUGAAGGGUCCCCAGGUGAACCUCUGCUUGUCCUCUGUGGUGAGUGAACUCCCAGGUCAUUCAGAGUAAGGGCAGCGAUAACAGUAUAUUCCAACCAGUUGUACUGAUUUGUUUCUGCUGAAUCUCCUAGAGUUGAGGAAAAAACAUAAAAACUACGGGGUAAGUGGUGGAAAAUGUAUAAUCAAAUACCAGCAAAACCGUUACAAACAUUGCUAUUGCCAGCUUGGUUAGGUAGGUUGUGUGUGAGCAUAUUGUAAGCGCUGUACACGUGUAUUAAAGAAAAGGUAAAUUCCAGACAUGAAAUGAAUCUCCCCUGAAGUCCCUGACAGAAGUCUCUCUCACUUCAGAGCAGUCAGGACUUCACUGCAAAUCCUGCUGAGCCCAUUUCAGGCUGGAUAAGCUGUAUCCAGCAGGAUUGAAUAAGUCAUGUGCAGUGUACUCCAUUUUUAUAAAGGGAUCUGGAAGCUCGGUAGUGGGUGUUCUUCAAUCCUAAGGCAUACUUUUGAGGUUAAGAUAUACACAAUGUUUUCCUGUAACAAAUCAGAUUUGUCAUUACUUGAAUAAGUACUGAUAAAGACCUGGGAAGAAGUUAAAUCCUACGCAUAACUUCAUGAAAUAAUAGCAAUGAAAAUGCUUUAGAAGUGAAUUAGGCUGCAAUAUCCUCAAUUCUUCAGUUGUGACAUAUGAUUUCCAAAGCCUGUGGCAGAUCUUGGAAAUAAAACUGGAUCUAAGGAUUAAGGGUCCUUCCAAGACUGGACUUCUUGCAUUUCAUCUUAGAUGCGUCAGAUUUGCAGAACUUCAGGUGUGUUUUUUAUUGAAAUCCUUGUCUGGCUGUUAAUUAGUGUGCAACUCACAGUGCUUCCAAGUGGGAUUUGUGACCUGAAAAGAAAGUGGGUUAUGCAAAAAAUGGCUUUGGCUUUGUCAGGGUAGUGAAAAGCGUGUGCUCCAUUGCAGCUGAAGACAUUCAAGCUGCGUAGCAAAUGUCCUUUGGGUCAAAAUGAUAUAUGCACUUAGAGAAGGAAGGGGAAGUCCCAGGGUUUGAGUCCUUGGUGAAAGAAAGGUUUAUUAAGUGCAGAUCUUUUUAUGGACCUUGACAGCGGGAUCAGAACAGGAUGCGCCCCCCUAAGCUUUAUGGAGCCCUGCUGGGAUAGGUCAUUUUGGGACUAAAUCAAAUAUGAUGUGAGCCAACUUAUUCUGUUUGGAAAGCUGUACAGGUCCCUGGUUUGAAACAGGCCACUUCAUCCAGCCCUACCCCUGACAGAGGUGGCUGCCCCCCAGCUCAGGCUGCCCAGGGCCCAUCCACGGCCUCGGGCACCACAGGGAAGCGGCACCCACAGCUCUGGGCAGCAGUGCCAGCACCUCACCACUUCUGAGUGAAGGAUUUCCUCCUGCAACUUUGGGAUAUGUUUCUCAGAUGCUGUGCCACUAGGAGAGCUUCACUAGUGGUGGAGCAGAUGUAGGUCGUGGUGGUGUGUUGACAAGGAAUUCACAAAAGCACGUGAUGAAGUUGUGAUGCAGUCCCUUCAUCCUGUUAGUGUCUGUCCUCAGCAAAGGGGAAGUCCAAUCCUGCAUGCUUCUUGCUCCACUGUUAUUCUUCUUCGUGGCAAUGACCUGGAUCAGAAAACACGUUCAGCUAGGAACUAGCCAGGCUAAAAUGAAAGAAAAAAAAGAGAAAAAAUCACAAACUUGGAGCAAGGCCAGGCUGAAGAUCUUCUGCAGCUCAAAGCUCGUAGGAAUAGGCAGCACAGGGCAGUCACAAUUUGCCCAUGAAGACCUAGGAGGGAAUCAGGCGAACAAAUGGAUCAUGGGGACAUACUUCAAAAGCCAGCUUCUCUCCCUGAAGGAGUCGACUCCCUGCAUCAGUGACUUUGUGGGAGCUUCCCUGCUUCAGUGCAUUAGCAUUAUUUUCCAUGGGCACAGGCUGGGAGAGACAGGUUUCUUCACUUUCUACUGUAUCUGCAUGAGAACAGCCUUCAGGAGGAACGCUGAGACACCACAGACUUCGCAUGUAACAGCUUUGGUGUGGGAACUGCGAUCACCGCUCCGUAAGGCUUUGGCUGCCUUCCCAGCUCGCGGGUGUUGAAGUUCUCGGGGUGUCCUUGCACAGGAGUUGGAGGCGAUUUAUAGCUCGUGUGUUGGGAAACAGCGUUCGUGCAAAUCAUUUUUCUUAGAUAAGUGGGAAAUCUGGAGUCUUUUGGGACUUUUGGGUAGAAAGGCUUUAGCUUUUAUUUUCUUUAGAAGAAAUAACGCAGUGCUCCCACUCCUCGUAUUCAAAGUAGGAAGCAUUUAUGUUUUGGAAGACUUUUAUCUCUGACAAACUGAAUAAGAGAAACAAAAGAAUUAGCCUGAGCUGCCACCUCCUCCCAGACACCCCGAGCAGUCCUAUUAAUGGAUGGUUUUUGCUUUUAGAUGAUAUACAAACUGUCUUUUUAGUUGUCCUGCAAGGCUGAGGCCCUGGCUCCCCAAAGUGCAGCGGUGCUUCCAGCGGCUGAUGCACAGCACUGACGGGCGGCAGGGAGAGACCUGCGUGGAGAGUUUCCGUCAGGCUGCAGCCAUCAGUGUGAGGCUGCUGGGCCGGCUCCAGCCAGCCUGCGUGAUAUUUCCUCUGGAGCUUCAGUCGGAUUAGAUAUUCAUCUUCUCUUCCUGUUCCAAACCGUUGUUUAGUGUUGAUGUGUCCUCUCGUGCUGUUGCCAAGUUCCACGCAGUGGUGGUAAAGGCAGUCCUACAUCUAUGCUGAGAUUAUUAAACUCUUGGGGAAGUUUAACCCUUUCUCUCCAUUGAAGUUAGUGGGACUUAUGCACCUAAAUCUCUUCAACUGCUUUGCAGAUUCCAGUACCACAACAACCUAAAGCCCAGGCUCAGCAGCAGUGGAUCCAGACCUGCUCCCCAGGCUGGGGAUGCUCACCACAAUGGUUUCCCUUCUGGUAAGGGAGCUUGCCAUGCCUGGGCUGCCUGCAACUUGCUUUCCUGCAGAGUGACUUCAACCUGCCCACAGCACCUUGCACAUGAUCCUUGUAUGUGGAGCUUUGCCUUCCAGACUGCACUGUGCCCUUCAAUAUUGUGGUGCUGUUGGCUGGCCUCUACACCAGGAUAGCUGUUACAGCUCUUCUCGUGCCCCACUUUGGACAGGAGCCCGGCAAAAUGACUGUCUCACCAGUGAAGUAAUGAAGGGUGCUGCAGGGAAAUCUUAACACCGUGGUAUUUGAACAUAAUCAUUAAGCCUUUACACUUUUGAUAGAUCACAUGACUGGGUACGAAAUGACUGCAUAAAAACCUAUCUCAUCUGGGAUAGAUGUUAAUAUUCCCCUGGAAAUGCAAGUAGCCAAAUGUUUCCUAAAUGGCUACAGUUCUCUAAAGGAAGAGGGUUUCCUUUGGCAUUUUUUGUUUGGAUUUGCUGUUGUUUUGUUGUCUUUUUUUUCCUCUUUCAAAUCCUUGGUGAUACAAUAACUGCAAACAAAUACGUACAUGCAGAAGUUCACAGCUUCUCACAUGGUACAUGUGCCAUAGAACGGGACAGCGGACACAUAAUGAGGAGCCUAAUCCAUUUCUGAAAUCCAGUCACAGGACUGAUGGCUUAGAAAGACUUUUAAAACUCAUUGUCUGGGAGUACAAGGAUGAAUAACUGUAAUAAGCUUUGAAAUGUAUUUCCUUAAGAACAAUGCGGUCUAUUCCUUUAAGUUGAGGCCUUUGAUUCAUUCAAAGGGCUCUGCUGAGCGCUAAGGAGGGGAGGUAGGAGUCAGGCUGGAAUUAAAGCUUUGGCCUUGGUAGAGGACCUGUAUCUACAAAAGCUUGUUGCAAUCAAAACCCCAAGCAAUCCCACAAAGCCCCUCCUCCAGAUCUGCAACCCUGUGCACAGAAAAGAUGUCAGCUUUUGCUGUAGUUGUUACAGCAUUUUAAUUUCAAAUGGGACUGCAGACCCCUGUUAAUAUUGGUUGGGAAGCAAUAACAUGGAUAAGUUCUGUAGGAAAAAUAUAAAAGCCAGGGAAAAAAAAUUGUGUCAGUGUACCUCUGGUGUCAGUGUGUGAAGUGCCAGCAUACAUAAUGCUGCUUUUCUCCCUUAUUUUUUCAGCCUCAGAAGGACUGGGCUCUUCUCUGUCUGCCUGACUCUGUAAAGAAAUGACCAUGGAGAAGUGUUUCUCGGUGAUGAAUUUCACACAGAAAUCAGAUCCAAGGUCGUCUUCUUCUCUGGCAGGUCUGUGAUUUGGGGCCAGCCCUGAGGAAAUUCUGUCCUCUGCACGUGAGCAUAAGUCAAAACGGGAAGCGGUUCAGCAGAAGUCAGGAACGCUUCCACCGCAAUAAAUGAAAGCGUAAAUUAAAGCAGCUUCAAGGAGCAGCCGUGGCCUUAACACCACGUCUGAAAGGCUCAGUGCUUGCAGACUCAUAGAAAAAAUGGGUUUGGAAAGAUCUGUAGGCAUCCGGAUGAACCAUCUGCUCAGAGCUAACUUCCAAGCUUGAUGGGAGCCAUGCAGGGUAUUACCAGCUGGGUUUGCAAAACCAAAUGCCGUGGAGAAGGGAGUCCUUCUGUCUCAGGAGCAUUGUCACUUGCAGAUGAGCUGUGCCUAGCUUGGGGAUUUAUUGUUAAUUUUGCUCCUGUCUCAAAAGCCUUCGAUCACUCAGGCAAAUUAGAAGCCACAUAAUAAAGAAGAGAUCGGUCAUUCCCUCUCUCCUCCUCUCCCUUGAGCCUGUGCUAAUCGCUUAAAUAAUUCUUCUUAUCUCUAACCAUCCUUUUUUUAUUCUCUUCAAAGCAUCCUUUGGGAAAUGUACUCCAAAGACAGAGCUGAGAGUCUGGCAGCAAAUAAACCGAGUUUCAGUUCCA